rnacentral:lncRNA from 1 species
UGGCGAGUGAAUGGUGUAUGGUGAUGAUGGUGAUAACAAUGGUGAAAGUCUAAUUCUACUUUUGUUCUUUUUAGGGGAUACAUACCUUUCUUGCACUUUGAAGCUUUUUUAGGAGAAUGAGAUGCUCUAUAUUUUCUUUUUUCUUUUACCUCAGGUGGGUAUCUUGUACCCCUAAUUCUACUGUCAUGCACUUGUCCAUUUUUACCUCUCGUCUCACUUUUUCUUUUCUACGAGGUUCCGGGCACUUGCCCCUUUUUAUUUCCUCGUAUCCUCUUUUUUUUAAGAACACUCAUCUCUUCAAAUAAUAUAGCAAGUUGUAAUAACCAAGAUAACUCGAGCAUUUAUUUCACAGGGAAAAAUAGAAAUGUUUUUGCCUAUUCUCUCCCGGAUUAGGAGUAGAAUACUUUUGGGUGGCUCUGGAGAUGGAAGUGAGUGGAUGUAUGUGGAUGCGUACUUCCGGAGUAGAAGUAGCAUGUGUGAGUGAACGUGCAAGUGAAUCUUGAUUUUAACCACAUGACAAGCUCCUAAGGGUCUACACAGCUUGACCACACUCAAUGCUCAUAAGCAGUAAAAAGUAAAUGUGUGGCUCAAAUUCUAGCAAGCAUGUAUAUAUGGCUGUGGUAGGAAUUUAAACUCUCAUCAUACAGGAACUCAUCAUAUGUUAUUUUAAAGAUUUUCAAAGAUAAAAUUCUCCAGAAUUCUAGCUUCUCUAGGAACAGAUAAACAACAACUCAGCCUUCCCAUAUCAUAUCCGUUAACAACUUAGAC